rnacentral:rRNA from 1 species
AUUGAACGCUGGCGGCAGGCCUAACACAUGCAAGUCGAGCGGAUGAAGGGAGCUUGCUCCUGGAUUCAGCGGCGGACGGGUGAGUAAUGCCUAGGAAUCUGCCUGGUAGUGGGGGAUAACGUCCGGAAACGGGCGCUAAUACCGCAUGCGUCCUGAGGGAGAAAGUGGGGGAUCUUCGGACCUCACGCUAUCAGAUGAGCCUAGGUCGGAUUAGCUAGUUGGUGGGGUAAAGGCCUACCAAGGCGACGAUCCGUAACUGGUCUGAGAGGAUGAUCAGUCGCACUGGAACUGAGACACGGUCCAGACUCCUACGGGAGGCAGCAGUGGGGAAUAUUGGACAAUGGGCGAAAGCCUGAUCCAGCCAUGCCGCAUGUGUGAAGAAGGUCUUCGGAUUGUAAAGCACUUUAAGUUGGGAGGAAGGGCAGUAAGUUAAUACCUUGCUGUUUUGACGUUACCAACAGAAUAAGCACCGGCUAACUUCGUG